rnacentral:rRNA from 1 species
CAGUAGCCGCGGUAAAACGAAGGGUGCAAGCGUUAAUCGGAAUUACUGGGCGUAAAGCGUGCGUAGGCGGUUUGUUAAGUCUGUUGUGAAAUCCCCGGGCUCAACCUGGGAAUGGCAAUGGAUACUGGCAAGCUAGAGUGUGUCAGAGGAUGGUGGAAUUCCCGGUGUAGCGGUGAAAUGCGUAGAGAUCGGGAGGAACAUCAGUGGCGAAGGCGGUCAUCUGGGACAACACUGACGCUGAGGCACGAAAGCGUGGGGAGCAAACAGGAUUAGAUACCCCCGUAGUCCCUGUCUCUUAUAC